rnacentral:rRNA from 1 species
AACGAACGCUGGCGGCAGGCUUAACACAUGCAAGUCGAACGCAUCCUUCGGGGUGAGUGGCAGACGGGUGAGUAACACGUGGGAACGUACCUUUCGGUUCGGGAUAACCCAGGGAAACUUGGGCUAAUACCGGAUACGUCCUUUGGGAGAAAGAUUUAUUGCCGAGAGAUCGGCCCGCGUCUGAUUAGCUAGUUGGUGAGGUAACGGCUCACCAAGGCGACGAUCAGUAGCUGGUCUGAGAGGAUGAUCAGCCACACUGGGACUGAGACACGGCCCAGACUCCUACGGGAGGCAGCGGUGGGGAAUAUUGGACAAUGGGCGGCAAGCCUGAUCCAGCCAUGCCGCGUGAGUGAUGAAGGCCCUAGGGUUGUAAAGCUCUUUCGGCGGGACGAUAAUGACGGUACCCGCAGAAGAAGCCCCGG